GGCAUGUAUUGCGGGGGAGAUGCUGCAGGGGUGCGUGUCUGGGGGUGCAUAGUGCAGGAUGCAUGUCUCAGGGCUGCAUGUUUCAGGGGGUGUAGUGCAGGGGUGUGAUGCAGGGUGUGUGUCUGGGGGUGCGACGCAGGAUACAUGUUUCGGGGUGUGAUGCAGGGUGUGUGUUUUGGGGUGCGAUGCAGGAUGAGUGUUUUGGGGUGCGAUGCAUGGUAUGUGUCUCGGGGUGUGUAGUGCCAGGGGUGCGAUGCAGAGUGUGUGUCUGGGGGAGUGAUGCAGGAUACGUGUUUCGGGUGCGAUGCAGGGUGUGUGUCUCAGGGUGCGUAGUGCAGGGGUACGAUGCAGGGUGCAUGUCUGGGGGUGUGAUGCAAGAUGUGUGUUUCAGGGUGCGAUGCAGGGUAUGUGUUUCAGGGUGUGAUGUAGGGUGCGUGUCUGGGGGUGCGCUGCAGGAUGCAUGUUUCGGGGUGUGCUGCAGGAUGUGUGUUUUGGGGUGCGUAGUGCACUGGUGCGAUGCAGGGUGCAUGUUUCGGGGUGCGAUGUAGGGUGCAUGUCUGGGGGUGUGAUGUAGAAUGCAUGUUUCGGGGUGUGCAGCAGGAUGCGUGUUUUGGGGUGCGAUGUAGGAUGCGUGUCUGGGGGUGCGAUGCAGGAUGCAUGUUUUGGGGUGCAAUGCAGGAUGCAUGUUUUGGGGUGCAUAGUGCAGGGGUGUGAUGGAGGAUACAUGUUUCAGGGUGCGCUGCAAGAUGCGUGUUUCCUGGUGCAUAGUGCAGGGGUGCAAUGCAGGAUGUGUGUUUCAGGGUGUAUAGUGCAGGUUUGCGUGUCUCUGGGCUGCGUGUCUCUGAGGCGUGUCACAUGUGGGCGCGCCGUGUGUCCAGGGUUGCCUGGGAGCUUUGGUCUCUGCCUGUCGCCGUG